GCUGCGCAGGGGUGAUCCGGUCUGCUCGUCUUCUCUCGACCCACCCCCUCCUCCUCCUCUGUCUGUGCUCGAUCUUGACCCCUGCAUCUUUUGGCGUGGUGAGCCUCCCCACACAUCCGCCCCUGCUCCAACUGCAGGUCCUCCUCCAGACGACGACGACGGUGCCAAAGGGCCCCACAUCCCAACUGGAAGGCAGAUCCCUAGACCCAGAUCCCCUCCCUUUGCAGCCGAGGACGAGGCUCUGGAUUCCGUCGCCAAGGAGUUGGCGUUUGAGGCUGAGGAGGAGAUCGCGGUGGUGUGGAGAAGGUCUAGGAGUACAUGGAGCCAUCGGAGGAGGCCAAGGUGACGGUGCAACCUUCCCUAUGACGUCAGCAGCGAGCGCCUCAUGCAACUCUUCGAUCAGGCCGGCGUCAUCGAGGUUGCCGAGGCUAGCGUCGUUGAGGUUACCGUGGUGAGCAGCUCUUCCUCUUAGACCAUCUUCAGUGCUGGAUGAUAGUUCCACAUUCGAUACAUGGCAUCGAUGACAAAAGAUGCAUCAAUUUCGCACAAGGUAAAAUACUGAAGGUGUAUUCAAUCUGUAAUUAGCACCCAUACUUAACAUCAAGCCCUUACUGAGUUAUAUCACAAAAAAGCGGUGACAAGGAGGCCGCUUAGAUGGUUUUUAAUUUUAUGAUAUUUAUUUUUUGUAUUUCUGAGCGUCUACACAGGCGACCCGCAUUAUAGAUGAUGUCAGCCGCUGCCAUUGUCGUUCCUCUGUAGACACACACACAUUUUUCCCGGUGAAGGGAAUACCUCAAAUCAUCAUAGCCCUGAUUAUGUGUCGUGUUUUUGCAAGACUGAAGCUGAAAAAUUCGGUUCUAGAUGUAAAUGAUGACUGAUUUAAUAUGGUGGUUGUGUUGUUGAAGCUCAUAUGAUGGAGCGUUUAUGCACAACUGAAGUGGCACAUUCAUUUCUGCACACGUAUCGAACAGCUUCCAAAACUUCUGAAAGCAAAGAGCUGGAGAACCAUCCUCUAGGCUCUCCUGUACCACCACAGAUUAUUUUGCUUCCAAAACCACUGAUAAACGCAACAAGUUUUAAGUGCAAUUCCACAUCCAGAUGUUAUUCAGGUUGUCAUGAUACUAUAUCAGCUUCAAAGUUUAUUUUUACUCUCAACUUCUCAAGUAGUCCAUAACUAUGUGAACCUGAACACUCAAAUCGCUGCUGGGGGAGGAUUUCCAUAGUAUCUCUAGGGUGGUUAACCAGUUUGGAAUUAUUUGGAACUGAACUCCCUGAAUUGACGUCAAGCUUGGCAACCACAGAAUACAUGUCUCGAGGUAUAAUAGCACCUGAUUCUCUAACAAUCGCUGAUGCAUAAAUUGCAGCAGGGUGAACCCAAGGCCUAUCUUGUGAAUCACAUUGCUUCCAACGAUUUCAUGAUUGAGAUCUCGGGAUUUAAUAUUUAAUAUUUUCUUGUUUAUUCUCUUUUCUUUUGGAGGAGAACUAGGUGCAGAUUGUAAAUGUGUGACUUUACAAGUUUAGCUGAAUAAACAGAAUAUAUCCUCUCUAAGUUGAUGUAUAUAAAAGUGGAUCUUUGCAUAUGUUUUGCAUUAUAUAUAGUUAACUUAGUAUAGUUAACAUUUUCCAUCUUUCUCCGGGAGCUUUUCAGACAUCAACUACACACAAGUAACAUUCACUUGCUAAAAGCAAGAAAAGCAACACAAGGUUUGCAAGUUUGACAAAGUUUUCCCUCUGUUCUUGAAUGUAGCUAUUUUUAUAUUUCCUUUUUGUCAAACUGUUGUUGGCAUGGCGACAAAAACAUUACUUCCACAUUGUUGCUAGCUGUGAAGUUUGUCAAAGUUGAACAGAAGAAAUAUCCCGCAGUGUCAAAGUUGGAUAGAAGAAAUAGUGCGGCACAUGAAGUGGGUUUGUAAAUGAGUGACAACGUCAGUAUUUUUCUCCCAGUGCAACACAUGGCCAUAUGUUCUAGAUAAAAAGGAAAAGGAGGAAGUAUGUUCAUGCACUGGAAGCUUUACUGAGUCAUGAUGCACAUUGAGAAGUUAGUGGUGUGUUCUACUUUUCUUUCGAGAUAAUUGUUGAAUAAUGGAAAAAGGGCACUACUGUUGGGGUGAAACCCAUCAUAUUUCUAAUGGUAUGUACAACCAAAGUUAGGGUGAGACCAGAUGUUAUACUGAAAAAUUCAGGAAUCUUAUCCGAAUACUUUUGACCACUACUGUACUCCGACCACAAAAGUUGUUCAAACUUGCCAUGUGCCAAAUAACCAAUGGUGCAGAGGCCAUGCAACUUGAAACAUCAAGUAAGAACAUAUACUUUUACUUAUUCAGUUUCUUGAGAAAGUUAUGGGAUUUGUUUUGUGAAUAAGAAAGUUAUGGAAUUUACAAACUGGAAAUAUUAAUUGUUUGGAAAAAAAUUAAC